rnacentral:lncRNA from 12 species
UCAAGCAGGAGUGGGCACCUUGCCAGUAGUCCCCCUCACCAGUGGGAGGCCUAGUUUUCUCACCUGCAAACUGGGGAAAAUGUGACUUCUCUUUCCUGGUGCACCGGCCUGUGGCGAGGACCAGGUGAAUCCCAGAUACGGACAACUGUUGGAGGUGAAAUCUUGCUUGGUGGGGCUCCAGUCUCUGAGCAAGGGGAGACCCUUCACCCAGUUGGCCUGCGAUAAUCUUUUAUUUUUUUUAAGAUUUAUUUAUUUAUUCAUUCAUUCAUGAGAGAGGCAGAGACAUAGGCAGAGGGAGAAGCAGGUUCUCCAUGGGGAGCCUAAUGUGGGACUCGAUCCCUGGACCCCGGGAUCACACCCUGAGCUGAAGGCAGACUCUCAACCACUGAGCUACUCCCCCGGCACUCCUGGCCUGUGAUAAUCUUAAAAGCAGAGGUCAUCAUCUUCCCACGAAUCGGCUGAGGUCAUCAGUUCGAGCUCAAACUCACUUCCUCAUGUUUACCUUUUUCUCUGGGAGCCAUCAGACCCAGCCCAGUUCCCAGUCUCUGCCAGGCCUGUUCUCUGCCAAGCUGGGGCCCCCUCUCUGCAGGCUGGCCCUGACCUCAUGCCCAGUGCAGGAUAUUGAACCCUUAUCCUGCUCCAACCCUCUGGGACAAGAAACUGCCUUGUUCUUGGCACAUCCCCACUCGGUACCAGGACUGGAAUCUGGGGAGAGGCCGGAGAUUGCAAGCUGCCCAGCUGGGACUUUUGAGCAUCCCCCGAGCCUGAGAACUUGCCAAAUGCUGAACUGCCUUUCUGAGAGAGCUCUAAAAGGGAAAUACAAGCCAGCCCUCCUCGAAUCCCCUCCAUCACGUGUGCACAGAACAGGAGCGGUGGGGAGGGGGGAGCAGAAGAAAGCCUCAGAGAUCACUUAACUCCAUCUUUUUCCUGUUGCGAGAAUUUGAGGCCCGGAGAGGUCAAGCCAUUUGACCAAGGUCACAGAGUGAGUUAGAGGUGAAGCUGGGACUAGAACCUGGGUGUCUGUUGCAGACUUGCACUCUCUUGCCAACUAAGAUACUGUGAGAAUUUCACUCGCACCUCUGGGAGAGAAGAAGCAGACUCUCCCCCAGGAGCAGGGGCAAGAAGCACUACGCCCGCCCAAGGUGAGAUGCGUUGGCUAGACUUCGGCUUUGCCCUCUGUUCCUCUCAGAUGGGGCUCUGUGCUUUCUUGGCUUGUGGAGCACCCCAGAGUCAUUGGGGCUCCAGUCUGAGCGUCCAACUCUCCCAGGAAUGAUGCUUCUCUCACAGGAAUGUACCAACAGCAGGUGUUCCGCAGAAUCUUCCUCGGCUUAGCCAAGAGCAAGUUGCCCUUCUAAGAGCCUGUUGCAUCUGGCUGCUAGAUGACCUUCUUUCUCAUUUUCUCUCUACUGACCUUCUGGGUAAACAGUUCGGGGAGACUUAAAUUCAUGGAACCAGUAAAUGAAAAGGGGCCACCAAGUUCCCCUGGUCUGUACUUACUCCACUCAAUCCAGGGACCCCCUCUAUGACACCCCAGGUGGAUACCACCCUCAGCUCGAACCCAUUCUCAGGAUGAACCAUUCCUCCUGCCUCACUCCCAGCGCCCCCUGCUGCUGGACCCAAGCGAUAGAGGAGUCAGUCACCCUGUGAUGACCCUUUAUGCUGAAACAGACCAAGUGUUUACCCUUCUCUGGACUACAGCCUGUGUUUUCGAUCAUGAACAAGGAACAAGCCCAAACAGACAUGACCAUUCUUGAUCGGCCAAAGACUGAGUGUCCAUUUGGCCAAAGACUGAGUGUGGGCUAGAUCGGGCUCUCGCUCAAUUUACUUUUCCUAUCUGAUUUCCGUGAAGAAAAGAAAGAAAAGAAAGAAAGAAAGAAAGAAAGAAAGAGAAAGAAAGAGAAGAGAAGAAAAGAAAAGAAAAGAAAAGAAAAGAAAAGAAAAGAAAAGAAAAGAAAAGAAGAAAAAGAAAGCUUGUCUACCUGCUCUAGAGAAAUUGAGCAAGAAAAAAAGAUAAGUGCCCAGCCUGUUCUUUUGCUUCUUGCUAGCAAUCCUGGUGAGAGUUCUGACUGAGGAGGAAAUUGGGCCCACCCAAGGUGAGAUGCAGGGGCAUAUGUGCUCGGCCAUUAACCUCUUUCUUCCUCUUCCCCUUGCCAUUGAAGACAACUAGCAUAUUCAAGAAAAGUAUUAUUGUUGUUCUUUUUUUUUUUUAAUUUUUUAUUUAUUUAUGAUAGUCACAGAGAGAGAGAGAGAGAGAGAGGCAGAGAGAGAAGCAGGCUCCAUGCACCGGGAGCCCGACGUGGGAUUUGAUCCUGGGUCUCCAGGAUCGCGCCCUGGGCCACAGGCAGGCGCUAAACUGCUGCACCACCCAGGGAUCCCUAUUAUUGUUGUUCUAAAUUCCGUUUUUUCUUUCAUUUUGGAAACCACAUAUGAGUUUCAUGCAGUCGGAAAAAAAAAUCAAUUACUAUAUGCCAGGCAGGAUUCCAGGGGCUAUAUUAGUGAGUGAAACAAAGCUCCUGACCCCAGGAAGCUUACUAUUCCACAAGACAAAACAGAAAUAAAGUAAUAGUGAAACAUGAUAACA